rnacentral:rRNA from 1 species
UGGGGAAUAUUGCACAAUGGGCGCAAGCCUGAUGCAGCGACGCCGCGUGAGGGAUGACGGCCUUCGGGUUGUAAACCUCUUUCAGUAGGGAAGAAGCGAAAGUGACGGUACCUGCAGAAGAAGCGCCGGCUAACUACGUGCCAGCAGCCGCGGUAAUACGUAGGGCGCAAGCGUUAUCCGGAAUUAUUGGGCGUAAAGAGCUCGUAGGCGGUUUGUCGCGUCUGCCGUGAAAGUCCGGGGCUCAACUCCGGAGCUGCGGUGGGUACGGGCAGGCUAGAGUGAUGUAGGGGAGACUGGAAUUCCUGGUGUAGCGGUGAAAUGCGCAGAUAUCAGGAGGAACACCGAUGGCGAAGGCAGGUCUCUGGGCAUUAACUGACGCUGAGGAGCGAAAGCAUGGGGAGCGAACAG